CUACAUAGGAUUUGUUCAAGAAUGUCUCCAAAUAAGUGCAUUUUUUAAUGUGAGGGAAAGUUUACUGUGUUCAGCCUCCCCAAGAACCCAGCAUUACAUGAACGGUGGAUGCAGUUUGUUUUUCUGGGGCAGGAGUGUAUCAAGUGCGUUUGUGUUCUAUUCUUUUGAGUGACGGAUGUUUUAUAAACAAGGCCCAAGUCGACGCUGGAUUUGCACAUCGUUUGCUAUUAAAACAUGGAGCCGUCCCUGUGAUAAAAGACCCCAUUCAUAAAUGAUAAUCUCUUCAUAUUCACACACAAGACGACAUGACAUGGAUUUUAUGAGGUUAGACAAAGGAAAAGAGUUGUGAUGUCAUGAUGACUUUUAUACAAUAAUAUGUUCAUAUUCCUACACAAGAUGAUGUUCACAGCAUCUGCGUUCAAGUCAAAAAGAAGAUGAAUUUCAUCUUUUUCCCCACCUAUGUAUUUAUUAUAAAUACAUGUAUACACAGGCUACAAGUCAUGAA